GAGAGCCGGAUGCUCAGGAAUGGGCACGUCCGGUUCGGGAGGCGGCCAGCGGAAACCCAUUCCGGGAAACCGGGACAGGGCGCCGCUGGCCGACCUCAC
rnacentral:ncRNA from 1 species